AGCCAGCACAGCUUCAGUUACAAUUAUGCAGCAUAAUUCCCUGCGAUAGAAGGGUAGUGACAAUAAUAAAUUCAAAUGCAUUCAGAUAAAUAAUUUUAAAGCAAAUGCACAUUGCUGGAGGAUAUUCACCAAGCAGACAAAAAAAAAAAAAAAAAAAAAAAAAAAAAAAAAAAAAAAAAAAAAAAAAAAAAAAAAAAAAAAAGCCCAGUAGCCUAAUAUGUUAUUUCUUGGGAAUAGUUCUUUCUGCCCUCAGGCUGAUAUAUUCUUUGGGAACACUUUAAUGCAGUUCCUAUAAUUAGUGAGUACUUCACAAUCACCUUCCAGAGAAUUAUAUCUUUCUGUAACACUCUCUGCGUGUGCUUUGAAGGCAUCGAAGCAUACAAGGUUCUUGUCUCAGCAGAAGAAAGGCUGCAGGGCAGAACCGGGGCAGGGGGCUUUACAGCGUUGCCAGGAGGCACCAGCUCGGUUUCCCUGCAGCAGGCACAUCUCUCCUCUUUGAGAAACACUGUGCAAGGCAUGUACCAAGAGAAAUGGGGAAGGAGACAUGCCAGGGUGCUAUCCAGACAUUCUUCUGAGAAAGUCUACCUUCUUGUGCAAACAGAGAGAUACUUCCAAGACCUGCUCAGUCUGGAAUUGCCUUGAAGUCACUCUCAACUUGCAGAUUAGUACAGUGACAAAAGAACAUACAUUUUCUCAGCAAGUCACUUUUGCUGGCAGCCCUCUAGCCCAGUCCAGUCCAGAAGCUAUCUGUAUUUAUCACCAUCUCAGGAAGAGUUGUACUGCUUCCAAAGGAGCUCUUUGCUUUUGUGCAGAAGUGCUGUCACUCCCUCAAUAUCACUUGCUUUUCUAGGAAUUCCUGUGUGAAAUUGCCCUCUGAGACAAGUGAGAAAUGAGGCCAUGUAAGUUACUAGAUAUUGUUCCCUUAUAAAAUGUUUAUUUCCUUACACACAUAAACCCCUUGCCCUUUUAUAUCUACCUAGGGGAAACCCUGUGGAAGGAAAUAUUUCAUCCUAAGAAGCCAUCAAGAUAUCAUUGCAUUGGUUCAUUUUGAGACUUGCUGAACAAAAUUCUACACCCUUCAGAAUUCAGAAGUCCUGUAGAAAAAUAUUCAUUUUGAGCAGUUUGUUGGAUUUCCCAGAAUUCUCCCAAAUCCCUUUCAUUCAGUCAGAGCUGAUCCUGGGCAAUGCUAAGCAAUUUCUUAAAAAACACUGCCAGUUAUUUGUUGCUGCUGGCAUUAAUUGGACACAGCAAAUUUAGCUCUUUGCAAAUUUGGUACCAUAUAGUCCAGUCUGCAGCUUUUAGAAUAAUUGAUUAAUUGACUGAGAAUUUAUCUAGGCAUGUGUAAUUUACUAAGCAGAACUAGAGAAAAGUGGUGGAUUUUAGGAAGGCUGAUUUGCUCACACCCUGUGCUGUGCAGUAAUGCCAAAUGGAAACAGUUUAUUGCCAUACCUACAGUGGGAGCUCCGCCUGAUGUUGGCUUCUCAGGGAGUUCAGUGGUGAUUGUGGUCUCAUGACAUCUUCUCUGGUGUCACCGCUAAUAAAACAAUUGUGCUAUUCA
rnacentral:lncRNA from 1 species